rnacentral:rRNA from 1 species
GCUUUAGUGCCUUCGGGAACUCUGAGACAGGUGCUGCAUGGCUGUCGUCAGCUCGUGUUGUGAAAUGUUGGGUUAAGUCCCGCAACGAGCGCAACCCUUAUCCUUUGUUGCCAGCACGUAAUGGUGGGAACUCAAAGGAGACUGCCGGUGAUAAACCGGAGGAAGGUGGGGAUGACGUCAAGUCAUCAUGGCCCUUACGAGUAGGGCUACACACGUGCUACAAUGGCGCAUACAAAGAGAAGCGACCUCGCGAGAGCAAGCGGACCUCAUAAAGUGCGUCGUAGUCCGGAUUGGAGUCUGCAACUCGACUCCAUGAAGUCGGAAUCGCUAGUAAUCGUAAAUCAGAAUGUUACGGUGAAUACGUUCCCGGGCCUUGUACACACCGCCCGUCACACCAUGGGAGUGGGUUGCAAAAGAAGUAGAUAGCUUAACCUUCGGGAGGGCGUUUACCACUUUGUGAUUCAUGACUGGGGUGAAGUCGUAACAAGGUAAGCGUAGUGCU